UACGGAGGGUGCAAACGUUGCUCGGAAUCAUUGGGCGUAAAGCGCACGUAGGCGGUCUGUUAUGUCGGGAUGUGAAAGCCCUCGGCUUAAACUGACGGAAGUGCAUCCGAAACUGGCAGGCUAGAGUACUAAAGAGGGUCGCGGAAUUCCCGGUGUAGAGGUGAAAUUCGUAGAUAUCGGGAGGAACACCGGUGGCGAAGGCGGCGACCUGGGUAGAUACUGACGCUGAGGUGCGAAAGCGUGGGGAGCAAACAGG
rnacentral:rRNA from 1 species